ensembl:lncRNA
GGAGAGCAGGACUUCAGCUGCACCUGCAGAAACCCCCAUGCACAGCCACACCUACGCAGCUUUUCACUGCACGAUGGAUGGGAUGGAGCUGCAAAACCCAUGACCUGUUGUCUUUGGGGGCCAGACACAAACAUGGGAGGCAGAGUCUGCAGAGAUGAAGACAGAAAACUCUGCAAAUCCAGGUUGGGGGAUGGAUCUUGGACUUGGCCCAGGAAUGGCUGUCACUGCUGUGGAUCUCCUGAGAGAGGCCAAGCAAGUUGCUCUUCAGUGUCUCUGCAUCCAGGUUUCCACCUGAGAAAUGGGAACAGCACUUAUCUUUACAGGAGCACCUUGAGGAUAAAUACUGUAAAUUCUGAGCUGGUCAGGUUAUAGGGGUGUUUAGAUAAACACCAAAAUUGAGCAAAAGAAGGUGGGAGAAAAGAGAACAAUCAUGCUGAAUUCAGCUUUGUAAAAAAAAAAAUUAAAUACUUUCUAUUUCUGUUUACUAAUUUUAGUACAUAAGACUUGCUUUUUCCUCUGUUUUUUAUUUUCUUUCUUUCUGGUUUUCUUUAUGUCUCAACAAAGACUACGGUGCCAUGACCAAUUGUACAAAUACAACUAAGAAAGAAAGACAACAUGCUCUCACUUUCAAGUUUUUCUUUUUGUAAGACUGGAAAGAGCAAGGCUCUAUUUGCAUCUCAUGAGAACUAAUGGUUCACUGUUAUCUUUGGCCAAAACCUGGGAAACCUUUCUGUGCAACUUGGGCAGCCUGGCAGAGGAGCGUGACAUGCAUCAGGAUGCUUUUGUUCAAUGACCAAUUUCACAGUGUCCAGAUAAAAAUGGAACAAACAAGUUUUUAGAGUUUUAAGCUCUCUUAUUUUUUGAAAUUCAGAUGAUGAAAUUAUAAAUGUCAAAAUUCUUUAAAGUUAUAAAGUAAAUGCAAAUCUACAACAAUUAGAGGAAGUUGUUGGAAUCAGCAUUGUCAUCUGGUUUUGGAAGUGAAAGAGACAACACAGGUGUAGUGAUUAUCCAGUGGUUUUUCUUUCAUUUUUAUGAAGAGCACAGGUUUGUGUAGUCACUGGUUCUGCCACUAUCUUUUAAAAGCUGUGCUUUAUAGCUGUGUUUUAAGGAAACACUUCCCAGUAGCACAACUUUACUCACAUCAGGAGUUAUAACCAAUACAUGCAGCCACAGAAAGCAUGAGAAUCUGAACAGACUGAUCCCAUGCAGAUCAAUAAUCCUGCAGGACCUGUGUCACUUUGGAUUGUUUCCAGACAUUCAGCAAGGCAGCAGCAGAGUCAGGACUUCAGUGAAGCACAUGCUGUGCAUAUUUUCUGCCAAAAUUCUAACAAAAUUUUAGCUUUCUAACAUGUGCACUUUCACUUCUCUUUAGAAAGAGAGUAACUGCAAUAACUUGCUUAUGUCUGCACCCUUUGAAGCAAAGUCUGCUUUGAAGUUCCUUCUCCUCAUUUACCAGCAGCUACCACACAGUGCUAUCCAAAACACCAUGAAAUAUUUUCUAAGAAUAGGGACUUGCAUGGUACCUUAGAUAGUGAUGCACUGCAGCUUCACAUCAAAAAGAGAUGUUUGAUGAAAACACUAUUAGGCAUCAGGGGUCUUGUUCCUUUCACCUUAAAUGAAUUGAGAUAAAUAAUCUCCCUCUGUCCCCUGCCACAUGCCUUCCAUUCUUUGAUGAAGUCUAAGCUUGCAUCCUUGAAGGUCAUAGGCUUGGAGGAAUUUUCAUACAAGGAAGAAAGAUUUUUUAGAACCAGCUUGCACAUUUUCCCUGGAAUACCUAUCACAAGGAUUACAUAUUACACCCGUAUCAGUAUCUGCAGUAUUUGCACACAUCCAGCAUGCACAUACCAUUCCUAAGUCACACCUACUUUUCAGCUCCCAGUAUAAAGCAAUAAAAAAUUAACUACUGACUUUUUUUUUUUUCCU